rnacentral:pre_miRNA from 7 species
CUUCGGGGUUCCUGGGUGUCACGCAAAUCUCGGUGGGACCUCCAAAUGAAAGAACUCAGUGGGGAAACCCCCACUCAGCUCCCGAUUCGGCGUGCACCCAAGAAUCACGAAUAGAACA